UACGUAUGGGGCAAGCGUUAUCCGGAUUUAUUGGGCGUAAAGAGCGCGUAGGCGGAUUGUUAAGUCAGGUGUGAAAUCCGGGGGCUCAACCCGCGGUCUGCAUCUGAAACUGGCAGUCUUGAGUCUGGUAGAGGAAAGUGGAAUUCCCAGUGUAGCGGUGAAAUGCGCAGAUAUUGGGAGGAACACCCAUGGCGAAGGCAGGUUACUGGGCUUUAUCUGACGCUGAGGCGCGAAAGCGUGGGUAGCAAACAGG
rnacentral:rRNA from 1 species